rnacentral:lncRNA from 1 species
UAUCAGACAACCUCAAGCAAACAAAGAUGUAACAAUGGAAGACAAGGUGAAAUGUUUAAAGACAAACAAAAGAGGACUCAACCACCAUUAAGGUGAUGCACUUUCCUCGGAAUAGUGGAGUGAGUAAAGGUGGGACGGUUGGGAUGGGCCUCCAUCGCUCUCUCGAAGGCGGCCUCAAAAUCAUCGUUUGGGUCGAUUCGACCCCACAGCCGACUAAUGUGGAGGUGGCGUAGGCCAGGCAGGCCUCCCAAGAUCUUCACAUCUUCCCCGACAUGAUUAAUUGGGAGGCGCAGUUUCUCAAGGUUGACGAGUGAGGCCAUCCAUGUUGGAACACCCCAGAGUCCCUUCGCAACAAUGACAAACUCCUGAAGGCCGUAUGCAGAUGGAGGAUCAGAUUCGGGAAACCAAUCCUCCUUCAAUAUCUCGUCUGCUGGCCCGUUGAUGCGAAUUUUCAAAGACUGGAGGCCUGCUUUGCUUAGCUCCGCAAUGGAAGAGACCACCUUCGCUGGCUUCACCGCCCAGUCUUUAUAUUCGAGACCAACGGAGUCGAAUAUUAAGCUCAGCUUCCUUAGGUUUUUCAGCUGGCCAAGCCCCACGAGAAACUCAGUUGACUUUCUAUAAACAUCGAGACGGCCGAGCACUUGUAAUCCUUGCAUGGCUACGUCUUCGUCUGGCACUUCAGCGUCACGAAUGGACAACCAUUCAAGCUGCCAGAUAGUGGAUGGAAUUUCUAUUAUUUUGUUGUAAUCCCGUAUGUCAAUCCCCAACUGUGGUAGCCUUGCUACUUGUUCCGGAAGCUUUGUCAGGCCAUCACCUGCAUAGUUGAACCUCAGGUACUUGAGGUGCAACAAAUUGCCGAUACCUGUAAGGUGACCAUCUUCUAACUGAGAGCAGUCUUCGACCAUCUUCUAACUGAGAGCAGUCUUCGUAGUCUAGAACACGCAACAGUCUGGACUCUGACAGUGAUGGGAUCUUCGCAUUAGGCCCAAAAACAUGGAGUGACCGGGCACUAGAUAUAACCAGACCCGCUGGGAUCUCACCGCCAUUCUGCAGAGACAACCGACGAACCUUAUUCCGUGGAUUAGGAUUUACACCAGGUACACCUAUUAUAGUAACAAAGUUCUCUUCAACAGCCUUGGAUACAAUAAAAUCAAGAACCGUGUCAUGAACUCGACACGGUUGCUGGCUGGAUCAAGCUCCUGUUGAUGAGCUCGUUGAAACACAUCUCUCCUGACUCAUGCAAUGUACAACCAUCUUGCUUAUGAAUGAAACCCUCACCAAUCCAUCUCCUUAUCAAAUUCUCCUUAUCGAUGGUGAAAUCUUCUGGAAAUAUCCUCAGAUACAACAGACAAGUUUUAAGAUGACGAGGAAGAUCCCAGUAACUAAGAGAUAUUAUGUUUACCAUUACACCGUUGCUAGCAUUUCUUAGUGCACGACCAAUUGAAUCCUUCACUCGCUCCCAUGUAUCCUUUUUACUUGCCUUUUCAGCCAACAAACCAGAUAUAGCAAUGAUCGCCAAAGGUAAACCAGCACAUUUUUCCAAGAUUUGACUGGAAAAUUCUUUAAGGUGCGAAGGGCAUUUUUCUUCAGAGCUGAAUAGUCUUCGAUAAAAUAGUUGUCUGGAGUGCACCUCAUCAAGAGGCCUCAUAUUAUGUAUAUGGCCACUGAAUGAUGAACAACAUGACUGAGCGACAAGAUUUAUACGAGUGGUGGUGAUUAUUAUACUGUCAGAAUUGCUUAUGGGAAAUGCAUACUUGAUAUCAUUCCAUGUUUCCACCUUCCAUAUAUCAUCAACUACAAUAAAGUAUCUGCAAACAAAAAUGAAUAAAUGUUAUGCUUAUUGAACACAAAGACGUACCUCUCUUUAUUAAUACGUGGCUUAUUAGGUUUCGCUAAAAAAGGUUUUUGACCAAGAAUUGCUUCGCUAAUAUGUAAUUUAUAUGAUAUAAAACCACCAUUAUCAGUAUGUACUUUUGAAGGCAAAUCUAGAGAUACAAAUUUCAUGUCAUAAAAAUCACAUGUCAACAAAGUAAUUUUUGGUCAAUGCCUUGUCUUGAAGAAACCUAAUACACCACAUAUUAAGAAAAUAAGGGAGUAUACUUUAGUUUGGUACAUUAAAGGGGUCUUACUCUUUUGAGAUGUCCACUCGACUCAAAUUCUAGAGCUAAUAUCAUCGGAAAUAACCUAUGUUUUGCUAAUAUCAUCUCAAACAAUUAAACCUUGCCAACACGACAUACUGUAGAGAAAGAAAAUGCCCCCUCCGAAUGGAACUAUUCCUCCUACCGAGCUUAAUUUGAAUGGUUAGGAAAUUAACACUAAGGAUAACAAUCUCUACAAACUUCAAAAAAAUCACUCAGGAAAAACAACAUACUCCAAUCCAAUUGGAGUGAACAGUUAACAGUCUGAACUACGAUCCAAGGGGAGAAGCAAUGGCCAACUUCAAGUAAAGAGAUCAACGAGCCAGAUUGGAGGGUAUCCAGUAUUUUUUUUCAGACAGUUAACAAUCUAUCUUCUUGUUGUCGUCAGUUUUACCAUUUGAAUAAUGGAUUUUCACCGUAAUGAUUGUUUUCCUUGGUCCCGUUAGCCAUAGCCAGUCAUUUAAGACAAGUAUAGAACCCCAAGGGCUGUGCAGUCUAAUGAAUUAAAAAUAUACUCGUAUAUAUUACUUGUACAAACACUUAAGCUAAUGUAUUAGUUGCAACAACGGUAACUAAGUUUAGCCAAUUAAGUUUGGAUGCCAGAGCAAGCUCGGUCUCAUCAAACAAUAGGUCCACUGAAAAGCCAAUUAAGACGGACCGGAAGCAGUACCUUUUAUUUCUGUCGCUGAGGAAAUCCCAAAUCUUGGUGAUAAGUGUCGGCAAGUCUUCCUUGGCAGCAGCAGAGUAACUCUUGUUCAACUGACUGAAAAUUUUACUCAUAACACUUACAAUGUCUGAAUUCUGCGACACGGACAAGAAAGCAUCGCCAUCGAACCCCCGUUUGAGCUCUUGAUACACUUUGUUCGCCAGAGUCGUCUUCCCCAAUCCUCCGGACCCAACAAUGGCGACCACCUUGGGUGGCUGCUGCUUUGUCUCGCCGUCGUGCCCCAACAGCUGGACCACUUCUUCCUUGGGUCCAUCAAUGCCGACGAGCUUCAACGCAUCUUCAAAAAUGGCAAGAGCUCUGCGGUCAACCUGAAGAACAGGCCCGGUUUUAUGCAUCAAUAAAAAAAAAAUUAAUACUCCCUCUGUUCCAUACUAAUUGGCACGGAUUUAGUACAAGUUGCCAACGGAGGGAGUAGCUAUUUUAUCCAAAAGACGAGCUUUGCAGUCAACCUUGGACUUGUUGGAGACGGAAGCAACAGGCUCGCCAGACCUGUACCUGGCAUUCGUCUGGCUCACCUCGUCGAUCUGUUUCUUCAGAUCCUCGAUGGCCUUGGCGAUUCGGUGGCGAAGCCCUUGAUCUUGCCCAUGAACCCGUCGGGCCUUGCAGCGGAUUCAUCGCCGGCGGCGACGCGAGCCAUGAAGUCGUCGAUGCUGUCCUCGGCUUCGUAGGAGAGCUCCCGCACCUCAUUCAUCCACACCUUGUCCUGCAGGUCAGGCUCCCCCUCCGCCUCCGACAUCUUCUCCAGGAACGCGUCCAUGGCGGCGAGCUCGCGCGAGAGAGAAUCAAUCUCGCCGCGGAUCCCCCUGAGGCGCUUAUACUCGUCGCUGGCCAGGGUCGCCAGCUUCCCCACAACGGCCCCCAAGGCCCCCGUCGCCGCGCUCACCAGAACCUCCUCCAUCGGCGCUAAGGUCAGAGCACAGACCAGUGGCUAGCUGGUGCAGGAUGAAGGGAUGCUCCUUGCUCCUGGCACAAUAAUGUUGCAACUCUUGAUUAGCUAAACUCGGGCACGAGACUCGCACUCGCGGAGUAUACAAUAGAAUUUCUCUGCCAGCUAGCAAGCUAUGCAUGUGCAGCAAAGUGCAUGAUUCCACAUCGGAAGAUGGAAGGAUUUAAUUAAUGUACCUCACGUUCAAUGGAAGAAAUACAGACUGAGAUGCCCUUGUUUCUUCUAAAUUCAGACUGCUCCUCCCAGGAACGAUCGAUACGCAGUAGUAAUUGAGAUGGAUGCACGACACAGAAAGUCAACGAGCGGCCUGCAGGAUAUUCACCCAGAAGUAAAAUUCUUGCAGGAUGGACACGAAGCUCGCCGUCGACGAGCCACCGGAUCUGUCUCGGCUCGGGCUCGAACCCAGCUCGGUCCGGCGCGAGAGCUGGCCCAUGGCUACCGGCGGCGCGGCGAGCAAGGGGGCAGGCAGCAGCACUCAUGGGGGAGCGCGGAGGAGUGACGGCGGUAGGCGGCGGCGGCGUCUUCGGCCUACCGAAGCCCGUCACCCUCAGCGACGGCAAGAAAUCCAGCCUGUUGGCCGCCGCCGCCGUCCGGGCUUCCUUCAUCACCACGAACCAGCGCACCUCGUCUUCCCCCAUCUGACAUCGAUGCCGCCUUCACGCCGACCAUUGCGGUCCCUGCACGGCGGCGGCGCGGCGGGGGUGGCGCCAGAGCGGGCCGUAGUUGGACAUGGCGAAUGGAAGGCGUCGGCGGCGAAUCGAGGCUCGAGUGGACUUCGCUCGCGGCUGGUGUGGACUGUGGAGUAUCUGGUAGCUCAGGCUGGGCCAAGGCCCAAGGCCGACCGUGAGAUUUCGACUGUGGGCCUUAAUUUCCGCGCCGGAGCUCGAAGGUGGAGGCCCACGAAUCGCCGGCAGAGGCGCACGAGAGUAAAUUACAAAAAACCACCUCGUUACGGACUAGAGUUUCACAUGGGUACCGGUUUACGUUUCAGUUGCUAAAAACCACCGGAUUAGCAUAACCCCUCGCUUGCUAGCGUCUAAUCACGUUUCUGACAAGUAUGACCCACCGGUCAGUCCAACAUGACGUCCAUCGUGCCAUUCUCUUCUUCCUCCAUGCACUCCCUCCCUGUUCCCGUCGCAACGGGGGCGAGCAGCGGCGUGCGGCGCGAGCGGAGGAGCGACUGCGCCCAGGGAGCAGCGGCACGAGCGGAGGCAAGCAGCGCACGGGCGAGCGGCGGCCAGCAGCGACGACGCACGGGUGAGCGGUGGGCAGUCCCUGCAGAACCUGCAAUCACCUUCCCCGUUGGAGUUGAGGAUAGAGGCGCACCAGAGAAAGAAUGGACGGGAGAGACGACUCGACAGCGAGUCAAAUAGCCCAUCAGCUGACGUGGCACCAGCUAGGACCUGACAUGUGGGCCCGUCUCGUCAGUUUCGGGAUUAGACGCUAGCAACAGAGUUGUUAAGUAAAUCCGGUGGUUUUUAGUAACUAAAAUGUAAACCGGUACCUAUGUGAAACCCUCGCCAGUAAUGUGGUGGUUUUCGGUAAUUUACUCGGCGCAUGAAUCAACGAUGGCGAGACGAAUCAAAGCCCGAACCGGCGGCGGCCCUAAUUUCCGGGCGGGGGAAUGGACGAAUGGGGCCACGGGAUCGUUUCUUUAUUUCCAUCCCCGUUCGGCACCGGCGGAAUUGGGCCGGGGCCUCCAGGGACGUGCCCGGCGGUGGCCGGAGAUGGCCGCGGCCGGCGAUUUUGGAGGUGGCUGACUAGAUUUGGGGAGAGAGGCCCAUGAAAAAUUAUGAUGGGACUUCAGGCCCAUGUGCGUUUGGGCUUUCCUGGUCAUGAUCAGAAUUGGGCCCUGGCGCUGUAGCUACGUGAACGGUGGUCGCCUACUAAAAAAAACGAACGUUGGUCUCGACUAAGAAAAAAACCGGUGCAACGGGAACGAGGCGACUCGUAUUUAGUCACCUUAUUUUAUAUGACAAGAAAUUCGUGUCAAUUUUGGUUAUUACUGAAACCGAACCGAGAUUUUAUAGGUUAUAACCGAACAUGAACCGCAUUUUAAUACGAAACCGUAUUAACAGUAGUAUAGAAACCGUAUUAACCAGAUCAAAAACCGAAUGCACACCCCCUACAGUGAGCAGUUUUUUUCCGGAAAGGGGAGAAACCUAAUGUGAGCAUUGUGUAUUGUCAUCUCUGUGUGGACGGACUGAGACCUUGAAAAACGAUUAACACAUCCCUAACCUUGUUUGUUAUUAGACACAAAUUAACUGUUGAAAGAGGUUCCUUCUCAACUUGGUUAUCACCCCAGGUCGAUACAACAUGAAAAGCAUGGUAUUCAUGCUUGACGCGUUCCAUCUUUAUUUUGUCAGGGGACAUGUAGCUCUACUGAGCUUGAUGACCAUUUUGUUGCUAUCUUUAUUCGUUAGCUCCAAACCAAGCAAGGAACCAUGCUUCAUGUAAAGGUAAAGGUAAAGGUAAAAGAAAAGGCAAAGCCCCAUGUCCCAUGGCGAAUCAAGUUCCGAGUGCAGCACUGCAGCUUGCUAGAGCAUUGGGAGUCGUUCGUCAUUCUGUUUGCUUGUUUCCUCACCUCUCUUCACUCUUCAUCUCGCCUGCCUGCUACGAGCUUCAACCAACGUAUAUGUGAAUUAAGGUACUUCCUCCGCCGCAUGCAUGCAUGGGUAUUAAGGCAAUUGUUUAUAAUAAAACUUCCUUGCGUAGAAAAUAAUCUCUUGAGGUCCCGUUCAAUACACCCCUCUUCAAACUCGGAAACUCGGAAGGUUACGACGUUUUUUUUAUGAUUUUCCUUAUUCUUUCUCUAGUUCUUUUGCCGCCUACUAUUUUCUUUCUCAUGCCUUCUUUCUCUCUACCAAGGGAUCUGUCGCCUCAAGAAUUGUUUCGGCGAUCCCUCCGGUGAGCCUGUGCGGAAUUGUGUCUACUAUGAUGCUGUAAAAUUUAAUCGCUAUCCGACGGUCAAAUCUCUGGCCAAUUCCAAAAUACCGAGUGUUGUUCGGAUUUCUCGCGGCUGUGCCUGAUAGCACGAGUGUCUGAAUUGUUCGCCGGUUUCCCGCUGAUUCAAGCAUUUUUUCCGGCGAUCCGUUCGGUGGAAUUGUGUGAAAAAAUUUCUACUACCACAACGGGAAAUUUCAGCGCGAUCCAACGGUAGAAUCGCUAGGAAACUUCAAAACACGAGUACUGUUUGGAUUGCUCGCGACCGUGCGGGACAGCACAAACAUGCAACUUGUUCGCAUGUUUUCCGCUGGCUCAAGGAAUGUUUCGCUGAUCCCUUCGGUGGGAUUAUGCGGAAUUGUGUCUACUGAUACAAUAUGAAAUUUCAUUGCGAUCCAACGGUGGAAUCACCCGAAAUCUUCGAAACACCGAGUGUUGUUUUGAUUUCUCGCGCCCCUGCAUGACAGCACGAACAUCCGACUUGUUCGCCUGUUUCCCGCUGGCUCAAGAAAGUUUUCACCGAUCCCUUCGGUGGGACUGUGCGGAAUUGUGUCUACUACUACCUCGUGAAAUUUGGUGACGAUCCAACGGUGAAAUCUCCGAUAAAAUCGAAAACACCGAGUGAUGUUCGGAGCUAGGCGAACAGGAGAGAAGGAAAUAAGUUUAAUGCCCAUCGUGCCCUUUUUUAUGAAGGGGUACGGAGUGAUCUGGACCGUUUUGUGUUUUUCGUAAGAGAAGGGUGGGUGUAUUAAAUCAGAAGUCUAAUUUCUUGGGGUUUGGAUUUUUUUUUAAAGAUCAGAUCGGGAGGAGCAGAUGGGAUUCAUACAUUUUCUUUUGGUCCGUAGAGGAGCUUGAGGAGGGGUAUGCCUCUCUUCUCUAAAAGCGGCCGUUUUGCCAUUUACCAGAAGAUUGUUUAGCAUUUCUCUGUGCUGUGUGCGGGCAGAAGAUUAAAAAUUUUUUAGGCCAGGCAGAAGAUUAAUUACUCCGUAGCAUUUGUAUCCUCUUAUCGAAUUUCAAGCAAGCACUACUUCACUACUUGGCAGGCGCUGCUGCGGAUGGCGCAGGCGCAGAUGGUGGCGCUGAUGGCGGUGAUGGCCGCGAUGUUGAAGCGGCAAAACAAACAGCAAACGCGUCCGCGGGAGGUGAGUUGUUGCUUCUUUCACCAGAUCUUUUAUAUCCAAGUCGAAACAACCCACUGCUUGAUUUUUUUAAACAUGCAGGCAUGCCACAUCAUCACAUAAUUAAUUUGUUCACACCUAUUUGGUGCAAAACUCAUAAUUUUGCACAUGCAUGCAUGUUAUUUCCAUCAAGCUAUUUCAAAUAUGUGAAGAAUGUACAAUUUUAUUAUAUGUUUUCAAAUUUGAAUACUCCUUUUAUGUUAACUAAAAAUUUCCGCAACAACGUGCGGGGUAUCAUCGAGUAUAUGUAGUCAUAUGUACAUUUGUGACGUAUAGUUCUCAAAUACAUCCCUUGAUUUUCUUAAUAAAGCUCUGUAAGUCAUUCUUUACUACUACCUCCGAUCCAUAUUAAUUGUCGAAAUAUUAUAUGUAUCUAGAUUAUUUUUAUGCAUAGAUACAUCCAUAUUUGGACAAAUUUGACACAACUAGCAUGAUGUCUCGCGCAAUUGCGUGGGAAACAUUUUUAAUCAUCUUAAUUUUCUAACCGAUUAUAUGUAUUUUCUAUUAUUCAUACAAUAUGUCGUUAGGAAUAGAUGAUUAAUCAACCCAGAUAUAUAUGUAGAAAAGCAGAACUAAUUGAUAUUAGAACUCUUAGAAGUACUAUGUUUUUAAUUGACUUUAUAUUAAAAUAUAGAACUAAACGUUGAUCAACUUUUGCAUUAGACUGAUUGAUUGUCCGUAGAUUAUAUAACUUAGUAUAGGUACUUGAAGUUCAGAUCGCCUAUUGACCGCUUGUCUUUAACUGAGAUAAUCGAUCAUAUGUGGCGUACGUCACAUUUGUAACAAAAAUUCAAAUUCAAACGUGAAAUUGAUGGAUUGGUUGUUUGCACGGGUAAUCGUGUGUAGUUGAUUAUGUUAGUAGGUUGAAUGUCCGUGAUAGUGAAUCAUAAUGCAAUAUUAAAGUUUUACUUGAUUGCUCUAUCGAUACUCGGAUUAAAGUUUAAAUCAUUUGAGCGAACUAUUAGUAACUCGUCCUUGAAAAAAAAUCACAAUGAAUAGAGCUAGUGUUACUACUAAAUAUUCUCGGGAUUUACGAAUAAAAAGAAAAGAAAAUAAAGCUAAGAGGUCAUAACAUAUUGAUUGCCCAACGGUGUUUACAUUUUGUGUUCGGCACCAUACGGAAAAAUUAUUGUGCUAUUACUAACUACAAUAUCUUUGGUCUAUGUAGGUCUUAAACUACUUUGAUGUCUUUUUGAUAGCCCAUCAAAUAUCAUCCUAUUGAAUCUUGACCGUUAAAUAUCAAAUCAAUAUUUUAUGUAAUUCAGAUGACAUGAGUCAAAGUAGGUGAUAUUAGCUAAUUAAAGUUCAGAACACUUAUCAAUCUCUGGUCUUUAUCCCAUACGACUAAUUAUGCAAAACUAAAGUUCAUAUGAGAAAACUGACGAAUCAAUUUGUUUGCAUUGAUAGAUUACGUGUACGUCAAAUUAUAUUAAAAGGUACAAUAUUCAUGAUAACGAAGAGUUGAAAAUUUUACGUAAUUCUUCUUUCUAUAUUCAGAUACAAAUUUAGAUCAUGCGCUACUCAUUUUAUUUUUUAUAGAGAUAUUUAUAAGUGUUUGCUUGGUAGCAAAUCAUUUAUUCAUAUUUGAUGUUAAGUAGUAGCCGGUCUCGAAAUUAGGGACGCGUGUUGACACGCAGAGUUAUAAAUCUUCAAAUACACGUUAGUAUCUUGUUCUUGAAAAAAUAUAGAUAUGGAUUAUGACUAAUAGACUUAAGUAGCUUAUUAUUUAAUAUUUGCAUGACCUAUGAAGAAAAACAAUAUAUAUAAAAUAAUGUUGAAAUUUGGCACCAUAAAAACAAAUUUAACUUAAUUACCACCGAUUAUAACAUAUUGGGCCUAUUUGGGCAUGAAGUCAUUUUAAUGUUUAUUAUAGCCAAUCAGAUAUAGUUCUAAUUAUCGCUAAUUCUACAAAUUGGGCCUACUUGGGUUUAAAACCACUUUAAUGUUUAGAGAUAGCCCAUCAAACAUACCCCCUCGUUAAAUCUGGACCGUUAGAUGUAAGAUCCAACGGCCAGAAUAAUUGAGGUGAUGUGGAUCAACGUGGAGACUCCCCUCGGUACCCCUCAUAUUGCUUUUUGUAUAUAAUAGAUAGAUUAAUGGACCGUAGAUUAAUAUGGAUCGGUGGGAGUAGUUAAGGUGCCUCACAGACUGCCACCAGUACAAUACUCAUUUAUGAUUACCUGGGUAUAUUUUCUGAAGAUCUGAAAACAAAAUAAACUAUAACUAAUGCAGAGCUUUGAGGCAAACAAUGUUGGAGAGGCCGUCACACGGAUGAUUCCUUAUUUAGAAGAUACAACCCAAGCAAAUCAGGACAUCUACUUUGAUGGAUGGAGUGGACUCGCUGCAUCCAAGGUCCUUAGAGCUAUAGCUCAAGACCCUCCACCAUCUCUCACAAGCAAGUUUGAUAGCAUUAUCCAUGUCGACUGCUCAAGAUGGAAAAAUCGAAGAGCAGUACAAAAGGAAAUUGCACAUAAGCUAGAGCUUCAACAACAAGUAAUGGAUAUCUUUUCCAAACAAGACGAGGAUGAUGAUCUCAAUGGGGUAGAUGAAGGCCAUAGGGUGGAGAUAAGAGAUGUGGGGAGAGCCAUUCAUCAUGCCUUACAAGGACGCAGCUGUUUAGUGGUGUUCCACAAUGGGAGCAACCAGUUGGUAGACUUCAAUGAUUUCGGCAUUCCUAAAUAUACAGAUGCAUGGUCAAACCAUGUUAGUAAGGUACUGUGGACAUUCCGAGGAAGGCUCAACGUAGUUAAGGGAGAUGGGCAAACAAAACCUAAAGUAAAGUCUAUACCAAAAGAGCCCGAUGAAGAACAGUUAACAGAAGGAGUGAACAAUUCACAAAUUUAUCUCUACUCAUAUUUUGGUCCAACCAAAUCUUAUUGGAUGGAUAUGUUACAAGAAGAGGCCAAAGAAAUAGUUCAAUAUACAGAUAGCCUUGAUGCCACGGCAGAAGAAGCUACAAAGUGUUGCUUGUAUCUAUUGUCACUGGCUUGUCAGUACUGUGAAAACAUGGACUACAAUUGGGCUACCCAUGCUUCCAACUAUUGGGUUUGUGAUGGGAUUAUACAAGGAGGUCAGUCUGACAAAGCAUGGAAGGUUGCUGCUUCUCUGCAUCAACAGAUGCGACUGGAAGAUUAUUCACCUGAUAGGAAGCCCCACUUUGAUGACAAAUUGGAGGCUCCCCCGAACCGGUGGGUUUCAGAAGUCGCCAAAGGGCCCACAUAUAGUUAUGAUCGGAAUGUACAUCCAGAGUCAACAUCAUUUUUCUUGACAAGCUGGCGAGAUAGACUCGAUGAACCAUCAAACAUGUUUCAACAGUCGAAGAAUCUUUGUGUACUGAAACUAUAUCAGUGUACCUUCAGCUUUUAUUCACCUCCUUUCUCUUGCUGCCGCAGCUUAAGAUUCCUUGGUUUAGAUCACUGCAAAGAUCAGGGGCAUGAGCAGAAGCAAAAGAGGCCAGCAAUGGAGUUUUUUCAUAGCCUGUGGGUGCUGGACAUAUGCUACACAGAUUGGGGACCAGGAAUAUCCGAAGAGAUAACUGAGCAAAUGGUAUCAAACAUUAGAGAGGUACACAUAAAGAAGGGAAGGAUCUGGCGCCACAAUCUUGCAUGGCGAGAACUGAAAAACCUACACAAGCUUCUUGUAAUUGAGCCUACAAGUCCAUGGGAGACUGGCAAGAAGGACGAGUUCACAGAUAUGUUAAAGUUGGAGCUUCUUGACCUAUCUAAGAAUAGUACGAUGCAAAUUUUGCCAAGCCUAUCAGGGGCAACUGGUCUCAAGAUUCUUGUGCUCGAUGGUUGUGUUGGAUUGGAUCAUGUUGACCAUGAAGAACUUCCUCCAUUACUUGAAUCGUUCAGCCUAGAUGCAAGAGAUAAAGAAGGAGAUGUUAACAAGGAAGCUGCAAUUGCUCGCAUCUCCUUGGUCGGUUGUGCAAGAUUGGUUAACUUCAGAUUGGGUGGGUCAUUGCCAAAACUUGCAGAACUGGAUAUUUCAGCCACAGCAGUCGAAAUUCUUAACCUCCAAAAUCCGGUUGUCCAGGUCCCAAGCCUCCAACAAAUAAUUUUGCUGCGUUGUUUGCAGCUCAAAACCAUAUUGUUGCCAGGAGAGGGUUUGCCGAAGUUGGGAGUAUUUCAGAUUGAUUCGAAUAGUCCCGGACAAAUAAUUUGGCCGUGUAUGUGGGAUGAGUCAUUACUCCCUGGUACUUGCUGCACCUACACUGAUGUUGCUAUUGACAAGGUAGCUGCUGGCCAUGAGCACAACAGUUCCGUGCAGUUUCAACCAUCAGGCUGCCAUUUGGAGAUUGGUGAGGGAAUUGCCUAUAAUAAUAUGGCAAGUGCACAAGGAGUCAGCUCAGUCAUCUCUAUGCUGAACAAGGCUGGGUCAAUGCACAUGCAUGACAACUCUUCCAUCACAACUGCUAUCCCUGAACGCUUGGUGUCUGCAGGAAGGAAGAAAAUUGGUUGGUUUCACCUAAAACAGUGCCAUGUUGCAAGAUGCCCAAUGCUGCACACAAUCUUCCCCUCUCAUUACGAAUUCAAUUGCUUCCAAGAACUGGAGUCAUUUUCGGCAUCUGAUCUGCUGAUGGCCCGCUGCAUUUGGAGCAAAGGAAUGAUCAGUACCCAAGAGGACCUGGCGGCUGGUUCCUUUGUGAAUUUGCGGAGCAUACAACUGCAGUCCUGCCCAAGGCUCACGUUUGUCCUCCCACUGUGGUCAUUCACCUUGCCCAACUUGGAGACCCUCAAGAUUGCGUAUUGUUAUGAUCUAAAGUAUGUAUUCCCGGUGGACCUAGCAGGUAUUGCUGCCAGCCAUGGAAAACGUGUGCUGUUCCAAAAUCUGAAGAGCAUCCACCUGCAGGAGCUCCCCAAGCUGCAAAAGAUAUGUGAGGCCCAGAUGAUUGCUCCCAACCUUGAGACCGUCAAGCUCAGGGGCUGCUGGAGCCUCAGGUGCCUCCCGGCCACUGCCAUCCCACAUGGAGACAGCCGCCCUGUUGUGGACUGCGAGAAGGACUUGUGGGAGAAGCUAGAGUGGGACGGGUUGGAGGCCGGCCACCACCACUCUCUCUUUGUGCCACGCCACUCGUUAUAUUACAAGCAGGUCUUGCCUAGAGUCUCCGUCCUCCGGUGAACUGGCCUGACUUGAUGAGGUACGUAUUCUUCCAAUUUUCUCUUGUUUCAUGUAUGCAUCAUAUAUACAGGGUCUCUAUCUGCUAUGUGCAUCUUUGUUGUCAUUAAAAAUACGAAUAGGGUUGAUCUCCUCAUUCAGGCAUUCAGUUUUUUAUUCUGCUCACGUUUGUCAGUUUUUUAUUCUGUAGGUUUGCUGAUGGCAAGAAGUCGUUGUAUCUCUGUUUUCUACCGCGGCUGUUGCUGACCAAAGUUGAUGGUGUGUUUAUUGAUGUGUUCGGAUGAUGGCUUGGUCUGGUUUGUGUCCAAAUAAUAGGGGCCGAUGUGUCUAGGGUGUGCAUAUCACAGUAAUGGAACCCUGUGUCAGAUUGUUGCUUGCAGAAAAUUGAAGUUUAAUGUUUGUAUCAUUGUAUCAUUGUUUGUACUCCCUCCGUCGCGAACUAAGGGAGUAUCAUUGUGUAGCAGCAUGUUAAUGCUGGCUGAGGAUGGCGUGAUAUGAUCGAAAUGUAUUGUUGACUUUUUCGAUCAAAUAUUCUGGUAAUUUUUCCUUAGUAUACUAUGCAGUUUAUGUUUUUUUCUAGUAACAACUAUGCAGUUUAUGUGUGCAUUCCUCCCCAAUUUUUAUUUUUAUUUUUGACGAAAAGCAGUAGGAUAUGCUUGUUCAUUAUAUUGCAGUUAGGCCGUACGAUACAUUUCCAUCUUCAUCAUAAGAUCAUACGAAAAGCAGUAGGAUAUGCUUGUUCAUCGUAUGAAGCAAACCUACAGAACCGCACACAUUGCUCGGGUUAACCUAGGUAAUAACCGAACCGACGGUGCAUAAACAAGUCACUAAAUGGGGCAAUUUGCGUCAGAAGUUUGCUUAAAUGGAAUAAAUUUAUAGAAAUUCCGCUAGGCAUGCACAAAUUAUACUUCCUCCGUCCAACAAAGGAUGUCUAAAUUUUGACUAAAUUUGAAUGCAUCUAUACACUAAGUCAUGUCUAGAUACAUCCAAAUUUUGACAAACUUGAGACAUUUUUUGUUGGACGGAGGAAGUAGAAAUUCAUAGAUUCCGUGUCAAAAGGUGAAAGUAAACGGUCUGUUUGAUAGGCAUGCAUGCACCUUUCAGUCCGGAGCAUCUCAUAUCAAAUGGUUCCACUGUCUGAAACUAAGCCAAGCAUGAUCGAUAUCUGCAGAUAAGUGCUUACAGAGUAGGUGCAUGGACCAUCACUAUUCACAAACCGGCCAAUGUGGGUGCAAGAAAGUCAAUGAGCUAAUACUAGUGCAAGAAAGUAAAUGGGGCUUAAUUUAUUUGAUGAUAACUUUGUACUGUAAAAUUUACUCCGUCAACACUCUGCAACUUCCCCUCAAUGUAGUCUGUUUAGAUUUUCGGAUUUUCCUCCUGUGGCUGCCGAAAGACCAAGCGUUACUCCAAUAACCUGGCCUAGCAUUUCGAAAACGGACAAUGUUUCUGGUUUUCCAAAAGACUGCUGCUGCACCUAAACAAAGCAGUUUUCUUUUCCUUGCUAGUAUUACAACUCUAACUCAAUGCUUAAUUGGAGAGGCUGAUCCCCACACCACUAGUCCUCCCAAAAUCCAGUACUCCUACUUACAAUGCCAAAAUGCGGAUGUAUCUAUGUGUAAAAAGCGUUUAGAUACAUGUAAUAUUUCGACAAGUAAUUCCGGCCGGAGAGAGCGGUAACAUUGCCAUUACAAACGGACGCAGUUUGUACUAUUCAUUUUCGGACAGGAAACAGUCCAGCCCAAAAGUGAUAGUGGAAUUCUUUUGAGUACAUAACAGCCCCAGUCCAGCCCAAUUCAUUUUCCAACAAACACUUAGCUGACGAGAUGCACUCACGUAACGUUCAGAUUUCAGACAGGCAUGAAUGCAUAACAUUUCCACCGGCACUUUUCAGUCCAGAGGAUCAACGAGCUACCAUCUAGCAGAUUGAAGACAAGACAACUAAUUCAUAUUGCUUAGUUUGUUCCAUGACAGAUUUCUGUGGUAUAGUGGUAUCCCAGAACGAUGUUUUCGGGCACCAUGCGAAGAUCCCGUCACUGUCAGAGUUCAGACUGUCGCGGGUUUUGGACUUUGGAAACUGCAGCCAUUUGAAAGACGAUCAACCAUUUGGACUUUGAUUAUUGCUGAUACCACAAAGAGGGAUAUGAACGGCCAGGCUAACCAUCUUCCUCUUAAGACAAUUCAAUUCAGGGUACACAAUUGACAUGGUGUGUAUCUGCUUCGGAAAUGGAUGCUAUUUUUUUAAUAAGUUAUCCUGUGUUCAGAUUCAAGCAGAGUAGUAGACUUUUGGCCUCUGAAUCAAAGCAUUUUCCUCUUAAGGCGAAGCGAAUAACGCCUCUAAAUUUCAGCCAAAUACCAUAUUCCUCAAAAUUCAAUGGUUCAGAGUUCUUUCAGUAUACACUUGAUGGAUUGCUCUAGCGAUGAAAAGCAUGCAUGUGUUUACUGGUACUAGUCGUACACAUACUCCUACUUGACAGUUAUCUCCUGUAGCUGAAUAACGUAACUUGAGACAAUCACCACAAGUACGCUGUAACUGAUCGUUUGCACACUACAAAUGUGACAAGAAAAACAUAUAGGCACUUUCCAGUUUCAGGGUUGACGUUUGAAGACAAGAAAACAUACAUGAAUGAUUGGAUAUCAGACAACCUCAAGCAAACAAAGAUCUAACAAGACAAGGUGAAAUGUUUAAAGACAAACAAAAGAGGACUCAAUCACCAUUAAGGUGAUGCGAUCCUUUAUCUUACAGUUCGGUGAAAUCCACUUUCCUCGGAAUAGUGGAGUGAGUAAAGGUGGGACGGUUGGGAUGGGCCUCCAUCGCUCUCUCGAAGGCAGCCUCAAAAUCAUCGUUUGGGUCAAUUUGACCCCACAGCCGACUAAUGUGGAGGUGGCGUAGGCCAGGCAGGCCUCUCAAGAUCUUCAGGUCUUCCUCCCCGACACGAUCCAUUGGGAUGCGCAGUUUCUCAAGGUUGACUAGUGAGGACAUCCAUGUUGGAACACCCCAGAGUCGCUUGGCAACAAUGACAAACUCCUGAAGGCCGUAUGCAGAUGGAGGAUCAGAUUCGGGAAACCAAUCCUCCUUCAAUAUCUCGUCUGCUGGCCCGUUGAUGCGAAUUUUCAAAGACUGGAGGCCUGCUUUGCUUAGCUCGGCAAUGGAAGAGACCACCUUCGCUGGCUUCACCGCCCAGUCUUUAUAUUUGAGACCAACGGAGUCGAAUAUUAAGCUCAGCUUCCUUAGGUUUUUCAGCUGGCCAAGCCCCACGAGAAACUCAGUUGACUUUCUAUAAACAUCGAGACGGCCGAGCACUUGUAAUCCUUGCAUGUCUAAGACUUCAUCUGGCACUUCAGCGUCACGAAUGGACAACCAUUCAAGCUGCCAGAUAGUGGAUGGAAUUUCUAUUAUUUUGUUGUAAUCCCGUAUGUCAAUCCCCAACUGUGGUAGCCUUGCUACUUGUUCCGGAAGCUUUGUCAGGCCAUCACCUGCAUAGUUGAACCUCAGGUACUUGAGGUGCAACAAAU